CGGCGGGCCAGUUCGGCGAAGUUUCGGCACGUGUUGGGGGCGUGCUUCCAGUAAAGCUCCACUGUUAUGUCGCCCAUGCUGCACAGUACACAAGAGAACACGGCACCGGCGUCACCGGCAUGCGUUCGAAACACGGAGAAAGGCUCACCUCGUGCCUCCGCCGUCGAUGGAGAGAAUACGGAGGCCCCUUCCCCUCGGCGGAUCAACGUAUCCCAGCAAGGCCAGAGUCUCACGUGCCGUGGACAUGACGGAACUGUUGUUGGAGUACUCCCGCAUUCGGAGAAUAUGACAGAUCCUUGUUCGUCGCCUGCUGCACACCCAGCCGUACUGUCCGGUGGUCUCCAGCUCCUGGACCCGGUGUGAUGGCAUUGCGAAGAAACUCUCGCCAAGAACCAAGGCUCUCGGAGGGCGUCUGCUUCA